rnacentral:lncRNA from 1 species
AGAAGGCUCCUAGGUAUACAGGUGUACACUGCUAUAUGUAGCUGUAAUUAUAGCUUAAUCAGAUUCUUCUGUGUCUCUGGAGACCACUGUGGGCACACCUUUUAAUAUUUUCCUUACCAUCAAAAUCUUUUACCCAUUCUUCCCAUAAACAUGGGUGUAUGUGUAAACACACACACACUGUGUGUAUAUGACUAUCCUCCUUAGUGAUAAUAAGCUAGGAUAAAAAAUAAACUAAGUUUUUUACUUUCCUUAAUGACUUCUCUAACUACAAGACAAACCUUACUUUUUCAGAUUAAAAAGUAGAGAAGAUAAACUUCUACUGCCACAUUUAAUCUAUGUAAUAAUGUGAUUUACUGAUCACCUCUGAUUUUUCUGGAGUGCAACCAUGAAAAGUCUCUAGGACAGUUGACUAGAACAAAAGGCAAAUGCGCUUUUAAUUGAAAACGCAUACAAUUUUUUAAAAAGAAUCGGAAAACCAUCUGUACUGUAAACUUUUGUGUCUCUUAUUCAUUCCUGUUUACUCUGCUAUUCAAUCCAAAUAAAGAUUGUUUCCACCUCAGCAACACAAAAAUCACAUGGACCAUCCUUCAGGCUGUCAGUCAGGGGAAAGAUCUACAUAUGCCCAGAGUAUACACUUGUGCUUGUUCACAGUGUUAUUUGGGGAAAAUAUGUUGCAUGUUCUCCUGGCUCUCCUAGUUUUACAUUUUGAAUUAAUGCAAUUUAUUCUAAUUUAUGACAACUGUUUGAAAGACUUGCUCUCCAUUUUUCCCAUUUAUAAAGAAUUAUUUACAAAGAGAGGGGAAAAGCAAGAGAGAAAGUAGGUUGCUUUGCAUAGUCAGGUCUAAGAACUGAGUGGACUGUCUUGGAGUCUGCAUUGUGUUCUAGGGCCGACUGUAAGGAUGUCUUAGCACCCUUUUCUGCGUGUUUGGAGAUAGGAAUGAAAUUAAGGAGAACCUUUCUUCUUCUUAAAGAAAGCCUUAUACAAUCGAGUUAAUUAUCUCCUCCUCCUCUCUUGUUCUCUCUUCUUGUAUUUAUAUAGCAGCUAUCACCAUAGUACCUACACACGUUGAUAUUUUAGACAAAAAAAAAAAAAAAGAAAAGAAAGAACAGAAAAAAAUAAGCCCAAUUUCUUCCUUGUGCUAGUAUAAGGAUCCCUUAAGGCCAAAAACUGUGGGGAAUCUCCAUGAUUUCAGAAGUCUUUUAAAUAGCUCUGAAUAAAAGGGACUGGCCUCACUGAACCUAGAACAGUGCCUCAACCAUAGUCGGUAUUUAAAGAAUAGUUGUUGGGGUGUCUGGGUGGCUCAGUCAAUUAAGCGUCUGCCUUUGACUCAGGUUAUGAUCCCAGGGUCCUGGGAUUGAGCCCUGUACUGAGCUCCCAGCUCAGCGGAGAGCCUGCUUCUCCCUCCCCCUCUGCCUGCGCUCUCUCUGUGUCAAAUAAAUAAAAUCUUUAAAAAAUAAUAAUAAAGAAUACUUGUUAAUUGGCAUCACUAGUAGCUAUUCUUCUCAAAUCCCUUGUUUAAAAACAAAGGCUCAUCUCCAAGUCCUCUGCUCUCCUUGCUUGUUCUUAAAGGACUUCAUACUGGAGAAGGAGGUCAGAUAGACAGAAGAUAGGGAGCCCGUGGUGAUUUCAGAGCCAGUAGAGGAUCUGGAUCUCCCUUGGGGCUUUCAUGAAAUUCUCUUGGCCUGUGGUUUUUAUCCUGCUAACUAUAUAUGCACAAAGUGGUAUAUGGAUAUAUAUAUAUAACUCCAGCUACUAAUAUCCUAAAAAGAACUCAUAAGUCAGUAGAAACUAAGACUUAUUAAUAUGUGCCAGACAUUGGUCUAAUCUUUUCAUUUGUAUUCACUCAAUUCUCAUUACCUCUCUGGGAGGUAUUUAUUACUUAUUAUCAUCUUUUAUAAGUAAAGGAGCUGACUGAUACAGAGGUUAAAUAGUCCAUGAUCUUAUAGUUAGUAAUGACCAGUGAAAGGGAUUUGAACCCAGACAGUCCCACUCCAGCACCAGUGUUCUUAACUACCACACUUGCCUCCUUUCUCUCAAAGUACUUAUUAGUUCCAUUCUGGAUCAGAAAUUAGGGCUGGGAACAAACCUUUAGGAUUAUAUAAUUUUAGGGCCUCUGUCUUGUCAAUAGAGUCAUGAUCUGCUGAACCUCAAAUCUAAUAUGAGGGUUGGCAGUUGACCACAGGAUUCCCAGGAAAGUACUAUCUUAAAUUAUGCUUUGUUUAUGUGAUUUUAAAAUGUUUAAGCAGUGCGUACUUAACCUGUAGAACCCAUGGCCUUACACUAAAAUCAUACAUUAUUAAAUAGCCAUUUAUUGAGCAACUACAAUGUAAAAAUUACUGAGGAUUUUAAUGAGAAGUCAUUUUGCUUUUAUGGAUAUAUCAAUCUAUAGGGUGGAAAGAAAUUAAGCAAAUAGUUAAAUGUUGCUUAAGUACAAUUGAUGGAAUCUACAAAAUGUUACACCAGCAAGGAAGGAGGAUUUUGAUGUGUGGAUGGUGGAGGUUAGUGCAGACUACGGAUCAGGAUAAGGCAUCUAUAUACAUGGAGAUCUAUGUUCUUGAGCUUAAGUCUUAAAAAGUUGAUAAAGAUUUAUGUAGUCAGAGAAAUAAUGAGGACAGUCCAAAAAGAGGAAGCAGUUUGUUCAAAGACUUGAAGAUAUGAAAGAUAAUGCUGUAAAUAUGGCAUAGCUGGAAUGAGGUUACCAAAGUGAGGAGAGAUGGGCUAAAAGGGUAAGCAGAGAUCAGACCACAAAGGACCAUCUGUGGCUUCUAUUCUGUAGGUAAAGGCAUGCCAAGAUGAUAAGCAGGGCACUACUCUUAUCUAACCUCUUUUUUGAAAAUGAGCUCAGAGGUUGAUGGCCUGGAGGAGGGUAACACUAAAGAGAAAAGAAGCAGGGAAGGAACCCUCUAGAAUAGUGCUAAACACUAAACAUUAUUAUAACCUUUAGUACUCAGAAUAAUCCUGUGUACAAGAUAUUAUCCCCAUUUUAUACAUUUUUUUAAAAUCUGGGAAUUGUUUAGUAACUUGUGCAAGAUCUUGUAGCAAGUAAGUGACAGCUGUUUUAAUUUCAUAUCAGUUGGACUCCAAUCCCUACCUACUUCCCACUAUAUCAUGCUAUUUCAGUGUCUUAAAAAAAGUCUACAGUCUUUGAAUCACUCAGAACUUUACUGCACCACCCAGAUUCUCUUUCUAACUCUGCCCGUAUGUUCUCAGCCUCUUUUGUUACAUACCCUCCUUAGAUCUUCCUCUCUGUGCUUCCUGGUUCUCACUUCCAUCUGCAGCACUCUGCUCCUCUUCCUCUCUGUCCAACUUUCCUCCUGACUAGAUCCCUCCUUCUGAAGCAAUCCGUACCUUCCACACAUCCCAAUCAGGAACCUGAGAACCCUCCUGCCCCUUGUGCCCCUCUAACACUCAACAGUGAAGGUGUCCCCAUGUCCUAUUGUUUCCAUUUUUAAGUCUCCCUCAAGUUCCUUUGUUGCAGGUUAGCUUAAACUGACCAUCACUCUUACCUAUACUAUUGCAACAGCAUUUAAACUAGUCCAUAACUGUAUCUGGAUAGCAAAGUGAUGUUUCUGAGUAGAAAUCUGACUACACUACUCCCCUGUUUAAAACUCUUCAUGGGCUCCCUAUUAAAAGAAGAAAAUAUAAGUUUCUAAGAAUGAUCCACAAAGUACCCUGAAGUCAGGUCCCCAAUUCUCUCAAACCUUAUUUCCUGUUGCUUAGCACACUGGCAAUAAUAAGCACUUGAUAAACAUUUGUUGGAUGAUGGAAUGAAACUAGCUUAAACUGAUAGAUUUAAAAGAAUUAGAGGUACACGUGAUCUGAAAUGAUUUCACUUUUUUUUCCAGUUGCUAUCCCAAGAUAGCUAAUGUAAUACUUAAGAUACUUCUAAACAAAACAUCAGCAUUGAUUGACCAGUUAGAGUGGACACGAGCUGGGUGUCACUCUACAUGUGCACUCUGAGCUAGAUGGGCUAGACCUUUUGUUAGUAGGUAGGUUCUAUAUUAGUGGAGAGUCCCCUCAGUUGAGUUACUCUCAUUUAUAACAGGCAGAACAGCUUCUGCACAGAGUUCUCUGACUUUGGAUAUCAUCCUAGAAGCCUCCUCUCGCUCCAGCUGGCUUCCUCUCUGAAGCAGCUGAAGGACCAAGAGGGUGGAAGUAAGAUUCAUGGAUGGGAUCUGGGGCUUUAAAAAAGAGAACAGCUCCUGUGUUCUUGGUGGAUGUGAAGCAGAGAGAGGCACCGCCCUCCACCUUUGUUUGGCUUUCCCCACAAAAGUUCUGCAGAAAGACCUUUGAGGGUACACGUGGAACCCCCCUCCUUUUGAACCUUUCUCUUUCCAUGGAUUUUUUCAGUCUCUGGCCCACUUUCCUCAGUCUACUUGUCUCUUUUUCUCACCUUUUUCUGUAACUUAUGAGUGUUUCUGCUCAUUCCAAUGCCUCUUCCCUUCUGUUUCCCUCUUUCUCCUCUUCCACAAACCACCUCCAUUUUCUUAACUGAAUAAAAUUGUAACCUUAUUUACUUAGCAUUUUCAAUAAAUACAUUUUUACCACCUAAGGAUAAAAUAAAUAUUGCUUUUUUUGUGAUUCCUUUUCUCACAAAGUCAAGCCUAAACAAAAAACAAAAAAUAUUGUCUUGUAUAAAAAACCUCGAAUACAUCAGUUUUUUGUUCUAAUGAAGCAGGAUUUAUUGUAUCUAAAAAAAUAAAUAAAAACAAAAACCCUACUGUGGUCUGAGUGCUUCAACAAAUAAAAAAAGGCAAAUGAAAGAAGAGACUGGCACUUAAAAGGAGGAGGGUGAGGAGGAGGAGAAAAAUGGAAGAGGAGAAUUUCAUAAAUCAGAAGUUAAAAGAAGAAAAAAGAAAUAGAAAAAAAGAUAUUGGGCCCCAAAAUAAAUAGCCUGUAAUGACUAUACCCUCUCUUUGGCUCAUGGUCUUGACCUUCUCAGCAUAGGUGGAAUUCCUAUCCAGCCAAAGGAAGACUAGCUGGAAGGCAAGAAAUCACAUGUGGUUUUAUUCACUGAACAAUUUUUGAGCACCCACUAUGUACCAGGUACUGUUCUAGGCAAUUGGAAGUCUUGUAAGAAUAAUUUGUGGUGUUGAUCUUUUGUGUUUCCUUUUAUGUUAAGAGCAUGUUCUUUCCAGGGGGAUGUUUAUUUUAUCAGCCUCCCUUUUUGUAAGUUGCUUUGUGUGCCAGCCAAAACCAAAGGCAAAAAGUAGGUAAAAAGCAAAAGAAUAAAAUCAUGCACAUAAAGAUCUUAUAAAGGUUUGUAUCCAGUACACUGUGGAGAGAAGGUUCAGUCCUUUUCUUAUUGUGUUUGCAUCUGUUUCCCUAUCCCCAAAAGGAAUUAGCUGAAUAAACCCCUACUGUACCUGGUGGAAGUAAUGCACAGCAGCAACUUCACUUGUGUGGCGGGAUAUUAAUGCUAAUGUACAGGAGUUAAAUAUAGCACAAAAGCAAGAGUGUCAGAAGGGAAAAAACAAAGCAACUAACUUCACACUGCAAGGGGUGGGGUGGAGGAAGCAAGAACAUUAUACACUUAAGCACCAGGAUAAACUGCAAAAGUGGUAAACUGGUAAGAGAAUGUGGUGGAUAAUCAGAGCUGAGUUCAUGCUAACCUAAUAUCCUCAAUGGCAAAACCCAAGAAUGCUGCCUAAAUGGAUUUGAGUGAGGGUCUGGAACAGGGGAAAAUCUUCAAUGAUGUUGAUUAAUGAGCAGGUUCAACAGGAAGGAUAGGGUUCUCUAAGUUUUCUGGUUCUUUUCCCCCUUCAAACAGGAAAUGAGUACUAAGUCCAUACACUAUUGGUUACAGCCAGUAGUAGCAUGUGCCCGUCCUAAAAAUCUACAUAGUUCCCAUUGUCUGUUAGAUACCAUUUUGAAAAACUCUGGGAGUGCUUAAUGGGCAAUGGCUUAAAUGAAGGAGCUUGUUCUGCGAAGUUGAUCCAAGGUCAGGAGAUUUUUGCCUACUGCCAUGGAAAUUCUGGCUUCAACAUGUACCCCAUCCUUUCCUUAGGAUACCACAUGAUGUAUGAGUGAAAGCACUGGAUGAAGAGGCAGGAAAACUAUAUUUAACAAGUGAUUCUUUCAUUACACAUCUAUGUCAUCCUGAAAAGCAAACUUCUCAGCAUGCUGUUUAUUUUUCAUUUCUAUAGUAAGACAGUUAAACCAGAUGACCUCUGUUGUUCUUUCUGGUUCUGACAUUCCAGAUUUUGGGUAGAUUAACUUAAAAUGCCCCCAUUUACGACCAAAUGUAGAAGUUGUGGUGAAUGCCUCAGCCACAGGGGAUGACAAUAUGACCAUCUACGCUUGGAGCCGGCUGUGGAGGAGCCUAACCUUCCUCAAGACACUGAUCAUCUCUUUUUGGAGAAUAUUUUUUUUUCUUUAAAUGGGAGGGGCCACAUGUAUACCUGAGUACAGCUGAGUGGAUCCUACAUCUUUAGUUAACUGAUAUAUCCCCUGGGCUUAGAACAGUCACUGGCACUUACUAAGUGCUCAGAAAAUCUUUGAUGAAUGAGUAAAAUAAUUAUCUCCUGGGAAACUGAUACCUAAAUGGGACUUAAAAGGCUGUAAAGGAUAAAGAGUGCUUCUUUCAGGGCAUGCAAUACUGAAUCUAAGUGAGGAUAAGAGCAAGAACUCAGUGUUCAAAUCUUGACUCUAUCACUUAUUAUCUUGCUGACCACAGGCACAUUACUUAAUACUUCAAAGUUUAAUGCUCUUCCAGGGAAAGUGAGGUUAAUAUGGCAUCUCCCUCAUAUGGACAUUGUGAAAGUUGAACAAGUACUAAAUUAUGAGCUCAGUGACUAGCAAAUAAUAAAUUGCUAAUAAAUAUUAACUCUACUUACAUCAAGUUUGAGCUCUGACCAAACAAGAUAAUCUCUUCUAAAGCCAUAGUGAGGCAGGUGUAUUCUGUUAAGGGGCUAGUUAACUGGUUAUUCAACAACAAUGAAAUUGGAGUUUCUUUAAUUUGUUCUCUAUUGAGCUGGAUUGUGUUGUAUGGCAAGGGAUCCUUGGAAGGGCUCAUUUAAAAGAGUGGAUAAGAGCAAA